rnacentral:rRNA from 1 species
GACGAACGCUGGCGGCGUGCUUAACACAUGCAAGUCGAACGGAAAGGCCCUGCUUUUGUGGGGUGCUCGAGUGGCGAACGGGUGAGUAAAACGUGAGUAACCUGCCCUUGACUUUGGGAUAACUUCAGGAAACUGGGGCUAAUACCGGAUAGGAGCUCCUGCUGCAUGGUGGGGGUUGGAAAGUUUCGGCGGUUGGGGAUGGACUCGCGGCUUAUCAGCUUGUUGGUGGGGUAGUGGCUUACCAAGGCUUUGACGGGUAGCCGGCCUGAGAGGGUGACCGGCCACAUUGGGACUGAGAUACGGACCAGACUCCUACGGGAGGCAGCAGUGGGGAAUAUUGCACAAUGGGCGGAAGCCUGAUGCAGCAACGCCGCGUGCGGGAUGACGGCCUUCGGGUUGUAAACCGCUUUCGCCUGUGACGAAGCAUGAGUGACGGUAAUGGGUAAAGAAGCACCGGCUAACUACGUG